rnacentral:rRNA from 1 species
ACGGGAGGCUGCAUUACGGCCUCUUCCGCAAUGGGCGAAAGCCUGACGGAGCAACGCCGCGUGAGUGAUGAAGGUCUUCGGAUCGUAAAACUCUGUUAUUAGGGAAGAACAUAUGUGUAAGUAACUGUGCACAUCUUGACGGUACCUAAUCAGAAAGCCACGGCUAACUACGUGCCAGCAGCCGCGGUAAUACGUAGGUGGCAAGCGUUAUCCGGAAUUAUUGGGCGUAAAGCGCGCGUAGGCGGUUUUUUAAGUCUGAUGUGAAAGCCCACGGCUCAACCGUGGAGGGUCAUUGGAAACUGGAAAACUUGAGUGCAGAAGAGGAAAGUGGAAUUCCAUGUGUAGCGGUGAAAUGCGCAGAGAUAUGGAGGAACACCAGUGGCGAAGGCGACUUUCUGGUCUGUAACUGACGCUGAUGUGCGAAAGCGUGGGGAUCAAACAGGAUUAGAUACCCUGGUAGUCCACGCCGUAAACGAUGAGUGCUAAGUGUUAGGGGGUUUCCGCCCCUUAGUGCUGCAGCUAACGCAUUAAGCACUCCGCCUAGGAGUACGACC